AGAUCUAACACAAUUAUUUCCUCCUCUCUCGCAGCUACAGGAAUCGCUGGAGGCAUAAAGGUGAAAGAAUCACAAAGCUGGCAACAAUUUAGAAAUGUUUUAAGAAGAGAAUUAUUCAUCAACACAAUGAUUCAUGCUCACCAGUUUUCCAGAGGAGGGCCAGGUGCAAUGGCAUUUUGCAUGGAAGGACCUGAGCAACCAUUCAUUUGCUAUCACAUGUGACUGGGAGUGUGCACUGUUCUGGAUAGGUUAAUGAGCUAAGGACCAGUCUAUGGCUGUCCUCUUGGCUUAACCAGUUCCAGCCGCUCAGCAUUGUCUUCCUUCUUCUUCAGGGAAACAAGAUUGCAAAUGGUACGCCAAAACGCACUAGUUUCUUUGUAUUGUUGCCUGCCUAGCAUGCAGGUUACUAGUAAGUUCUGAGUUAAUAUAGGGUCUUUAUUU
rnacentral:lncRNA from 1 species